rnacentral:rRNA from 1 species
CAGCCGCCGCGGGAAUACGGAGGGGGCUAGCGUUGUUCGGAAUUACUGGGCGUAAAGCGCACGUAGGCGGCUUUACAAGUCAGAGGUGAAAGCCCGGGGCUCAACUCCGGAACUGCCUUUGAGACUGGGUAUCUUGAGUAUGGAAGAGGUGAAUGGAAUUCCGAGUGUAGAGGUGAAAUUCGUAGAUAUUCGGAGGAACACCAGUGGCGAAGGCGGCUCACUGGUCCAUUACUGACGCUGAGGUGCGAAAGCGUGGGGAGCAAACAGGAUUAGAUACCCCAGUAGUCCCUGUCUCUUAUAC